rnacentral:rRNA from 1 species
AACAAAGACAUGGUCAUUUUGAAAAUUGUGGUCUUAGAUCAUGAAUUGUAUUUUCAAAAUGCAUUGCUAACACAACUGCACAUGUUUGUUUAUUGGAAAGAACAUCACAAAGGGUGACAAUCCCAUGUGUCAUGUGUAUGUUUUGUGUACAGCGUGCAUUAUAUGAAUCACAUUCAUUGACAAUUGAAUGCAAAUAGAAUGGUAAAUUUCAUUUAAUCAUAAAUAUGUUGUUGACAACUUAUAGCAAACAAAUACCAUGAGGGAAAUGUGAAAAGGAUUUUGAAAAGAAAAUUAAAAGAGCUUGCAAUUGCUGAACUGAUAAGCAAACAAAACAUACGUGUGUAUGCAAGAUUGUUGUAAUGCUUAGCAUCCUAUGCAAGGCUAUUGCAAUGAUUUUUUGUAUAUUGAUGCUACCUUUUUUUAGAAUUUGGAAUGUCUUUUUUUGAGUGUGAAUGGAAUUUUGUUUGUUAGCAAAGGAAUGCACUUUUAGAUUCAUUGUUUGAUUUGAUUUAAAAAUGUUUGUGACACGUGUCUUUGUUUUAGUUUCAUGCUUCAACCAAGGACAUUGUGUUUGAUCCAUAUCAGCAAUACAUGUUUUGUUUGACCCGUCUUGAAACACGGACCAAGGAGUUUAAUUUAUGUGCAAGAUCAUGAAACUGACAUUUGUAUAUCAAUGAAAAUAUUUUGUUGGGAUUUGUGCACCAACAACUGAUAAGUUGUGUGACGCGACGUUGAGUUUGAGCAUGUUGAUUAAAACCCGAAAGAUGGUGAACUAUGCCUGAACAGAAUGAAGUCAGAGGAAACUCUGAUGGAAGUUCGUAUCGAUACUGACGU